rnacentral:lncRNA from 1 species
UUUAUGUACGCCGAUCAUCCGAACGAGUUGGAAGGUGAAUUCCUUAAAUUGAUAUUGAAAUAUUGCACUGUGAACUUGCUACAAAGUUCUCGACAAUAAAAAAGACUGCGGAGUAAAGCAAUUAAUCAUCCAAAGGGCGAUAAAGCAAAUGGUUACAUCAUCGUGUUGCCUUCGGAAUACGGCAAAAGUUUCAAUUUUGCGUUAAUGUUUUCAAAAAGUUGUCUUUGUGCCUUGUGAAUCGUGUCCUAGAUGGAAAAUACAGAAUCGACUGUGAACCUUCACGGAUCAAUUAAUGGGCCAAAAAUGGAAGAUGUGGCGCCAGCUUGGAGAAAGCUGGAUUGCAAAGCCCCUUGCUGGUUUACAACGGUGGAAUACAUUUUCUAACAGAAACUAGGGUUACUUCUAAAAGAUAAAGGAGCCUCGGUAACUUACUAUGAUGUUCAGGAUGUAACCACCAACCGCUGAACAACCGAUCAAGUUAAUGCUUAUGUUCAAAUCAACGCCAAAAGUUAAUCGAUUAUUCCUACUUAGGCAACUCUCUACUUCUAUAGGCGCGUUAAGUAUUAAAAUAAUAGUGAUUUAAUUAUACAUAUUUAACUGUAUGCAAGCAAUACUCACAGGCCUUAGUGUAUGACCAACAUUGUCGCAAACAUUUGUCGAUUUAAUAAUGUUUUCCUUCAGUAAACAGACAAUUAAUUUUAUAGGAUGUCGGACACUUUGGCAUAUGUAUACCGGACAAAGCAAUAAAGAUUUUAACUGCUCCAUAAA